UUUGAAUGAAGGUAAGGAGUGAGAGGAAUUGAAGAUUAUGGGAAGAGUGUUGGGCAGGAAGAGGGUGGCAUCAGGGAUGGGAUGAGGGAGGGAGGGAGGUGGUUGUGGACUGAGGGUCGGAAUCAAGAAAGCCAUUUGUGCCAUUUCCUUUUUAGGUUCUAGAAUAUGAAUAACUUUUAGAAUAUUUAUUUAAAAAAUUUAAUAAAU
rnacentral:lncRNA from 1 species